rnacentral:rRNA from 1 species
UACGAAGGGAGCUAGCGUUGUUCGGAAUCAGUACGUGGGCUUAAAGCGCGUGUAGGCGGAUCGUUAAAGUGCCGUUGUCGCAAAUCCCACGGACUUAACCGUGGAACUGCUUGGGACAUACGUGGCGGAUCUUGAGCCAUCUAGGGGCCUGCGGAACAAACGGUGGAGCGGUGAAAUGCGUACGAUAUCGUUUGGAACGCCAAUCGGUCGAAAACAGCAGGCUGGGGAGUGUGCUGACGC